rnacentral:rRNA from 1 species
UACGAAGGGGGCGAGCGUUGUUCGGAAUUACUGGGCGUAAAGGGCACGCAGGCGGUGGUUUAAGUUUGGUGUUUAAGCCCAGGGCUCAACCCUGGUACGCACUGAAAACUGGAUCACUUGAGUGCAGAAGAGGAGAGUGGAAUUCCACGUGUAGCGGUGAAAUGCGUAGAUAUGUGGAGGAACACCAGUGGCGAAGGCGACUCUCUGGUCUGUAACUGACGCUGAGGUGCGAAAGCGUGGGUAGCAAACAGG